UUCUAGGAUCAACAGCUUUCUCAUGGACUUCAAAGAAGCAAUCAAUUGUUGCUUUGUCAUCAUGUGAAGCCGAGUAUGUUGCUGUAGCCUCAACCGUGUGUGAGGCAAUUUGGUUAAGAAAUCUGUUGAAGUCAGUGUGUCAUCCACAAGUGGAAUCGACUGUGAUUCACGUAGAUAACGUGUCUGCAAUCAAACUUGCAAAAAAUCCUGUUCAACAUGGAAGGAGCAAGCACAUUGAUACCAGGUUCCAUUUUCUAAGGGACCAUGUGAAGCAAAAGACAAUUGAACUUGUCUACUGUCACACCAAAGAACAAGUGGCAGACAUCUUCACAAAGCCAUUGCCAAUUGAAACAUUCCGGCUACUGCGUGAAAUGCUAGGAAUGAAGGCGUUUUGAUUUGAGGAGGUGUGUUGGAAAUUCAAAUCAAAACAAGUUGCUAUUGUUGAAAAUCAAUGUCAAAGUUAGGCAUUGAAAGUUAGGCAAUGUUAGGUAUGGUUGAAUAAAAAUUAUUAGGUGCAAUUAAUGUGUUUUGUGUGGUAAUAAAUAAUCUUAGUUUAAUCAUUUGGUUUGCUAUAAAUACCCAAGUUCUCAAGCAUUGUAAAUCAUCCCAUAAAAAUCCCAUUUCUCAUUCUCAUUUUAAGCUUGUAAGCUAUAGAGUUUGUAAACUCUCUUUUCAUAUAUCAAAGUCCAAGUGUUUUAUCAAAGCUUGUUGCUUCCCUCCUUUCUCUAUUUCUUUGUCCAAUUUUAUUUGAGAGUGCAAAGUGAAAGAGGUGUGAUAGAGUUUGUAAACUUAUCACCCACAUAUUUUGGUAUUGAGUUAGUAAACUGUCAAAUACCAACAAUUACAUGGAGGUUUUGAUGCGCCUGUUGCAAGCACGCUUUCCGGACAGCUGAAGCUUCAGCCUCCCAGAAAAGCUCCCGAACUGUUCCAAAGCUGCCAGUAGCAAUUUUCCCAGUACACAUGCCCUCGAUGCAGCUCACGCUACUGUUCCCUGCACCGCUAGAAGGACAGGGAGGAAGACAAGGAUUUGGACCCUAGAUGUGCUCUCCUUCGUCCAUCAUGCAUCUUCAUGUCCUCAUUCACAAGAUAAGUACCAUCUUUAUACUUGAUUUUCUACUGUUUUGUUUGGUUUUGAUUCUCUCUGCCAUUCUCACUCCACUCUCUGUCUCUCACUCAGUUCGAAGCUCUUCAACUUUUUCGCACAAGCUCUCAAACAUCUCAGAUCCCUCACUCACCCUUCUAUCAUCGACACCCCAAAGUUACGUCUAAACAGUUGAUUCACGCCGCAACAUGCAGGCAUAUUUUCUAUAUAGACUAAGAUUUGGUAAUAUAUGGGGAUAGAUGAACAUGUUCAAAGGGAAAUCAUGAAUCAUAGAUCACUGAAGCAUCCGAAUAUCAUUCGAUCCAAAGAGAUGCAGAUGGAUGAACAUGUUCAAAGGGAAAUCAUAAACCAUAAAUCACUGAAGAAUCCGAAUAUCAUUUGAGUCAAAGAGUUACUUUUCGGCAUCCAACAACACUGAUAUAGCAUUUAGUUGUAGAUUACUUAUAUGGGUCUUUAACUACAAUAUUAAAUUUCUUACUUUUUUCAUGUUUUUACUUUUGACUUACUGAUAUCUAUUUUAGAAUGUGGAAUUAUAUCUAAUAUUUGUUUAUUUCCUGACUGUCUUAAUCCCUCACUGUCUGUAGAUUUUAAAUUUUGGUAAGAACCAUGAUAAUGACUGACAAGCAUGAUGUUGUUUUCGAAAUAUAUAUUAGCAUCCCCUUCUCACCCAACUGCCAAAAUCAGGUGGCUUGACUUGAGGUGUGUUCAGAUAUUGUAAUUAAUGAACAAUUAGGUUACACUUUAACAACAAUGUGUAAAAAGGGUUGAUAACCGCAUUUUUAAGAGAGAAGUACUAUUUUGUCUAACCCUUUUGAGUUCCCAUAUAUUUUCUUUGUUUCAUUUAUACAUCUGUUGGAGGAUUGGAGGGGAUUGGGAGGCAGAUGAGUGAGACUUCUGAUGGUUACACAGAAAUAAAUGCUCUCUCACAUCUUGAACCAGAUUACUGUUGCUUUGGCAGGUAUGAAUGAUUCUAGCCUUUUUUUAGAGGAACUCUAUGCUUUCCAUUUCAAUCAGAAUAUUCUGUUAUUAGAAGCAAUUACAUAGAGUUUGGUCAACUAAAAUGGCUGGACAGAAAAAAUGGUCCUAAUUGUUCACUCUCUAAUGAUGUUGGCAAGUAACGUUGAUUGUUCUAAACGCUGGCGGUGCUUUUGUUUUCCACAAUGUAAGCCCAUGAUUAUGCGAUGGUGCUCAAUUUGGAUUUGUUGCAUAGCUAGAAGGAUCAUCUUGCUGUAAUUGUUGAAGACCGUUAUAUGCCAAGCACUGUAGAUUUUUUCAAGGAGCUUCCUCAGUUUGUUGUGAAGGCUGGUUCAAUUUUAAGUAAUAAUGGUGUAGAUUGGGAAAACAAACUUGAGGUAUUCAUUUUUCAGAGAUAGUUUAUGCUUGAAAUUAGCCCUGUUUUUUUUUAUCUUCCAACAUUCUGUUUUCUUGGAGUUACUGUGUGCUUGAAAACUUGCUGAAACAACAAUGGAACAGUUAUUUUGUUUUUUGCUACCUUAACUGCAAGGGCAAAAUAUGUUUGGACUGCAUCUUGCUUUUGUUUCUUACGGAAAUAGGCAUCCUGCAUUUUUUUUUUCUUUGAACAUUAGUGCUUGAAAGCUUAGCUGCUGAAACAAAAACAGAACACUUACAAUGUUUUUUGUUAACUGCUGAAACAGGCGGCUGGCCUGCAGUACAUAUAUUUUGUCAUCUUAACUUCAGAGGCAAUAUAUGUGUGAACUGCAUGUUGCUUCUGUUUCUUAUGGAAACACAGAAUUUUUUGUAAUCACAUCUUUUGUAAUCAAGAACGUUCAACUUCGUCCUGUUAAUUGUACAAUGUCUUUUCAUAUCAGCUAUGUUGAAUGUAUACAAAAAUCAGGAUGCUUAUGUUACUGACUCUUUUCACUCA